rnacentral:lncRNA from 1 species
UUCUCUCUGAUUUCGCCAAAUGUUUGCUCAUUUGUCUGUGGUGAUCUAGAAAGCAAAAUUGACGCUGGUUGAGCUCAUGAUCCAACCCCUAUUAACCCACAUAAAGCCAAUGUAUGUACCUUGUCGGUAAACUUAGAUCCUUCAUGUGUGUUUUCCUUCCCCUAUACCAUUUUGUCCAUUAACCGUUUAUAACUCAAUUUUCCCUCUUAUAUCCAUACUUUUGGUGCCUCAUGCGUAUUAUACAUGUAUAUCAGCAUGCCAACAAUAUUCUUUCAACAGAUGAAUUUCCAAGGUCUACUGACGAAUAUCGUUCUUUCCAAGGAUUGUCUUAAUUGGAUACAAUGACUAUGGAUUGUUCACAUUUUAGUUUCUUUGUUGUUGCACAUUGUGCCAAUGCGAGCACGGCAAUCGAUCUUCUGUUCGAAGGGACAAUGGUUGAACUUCUCUUCAAAAUGUGGCCUCAACAUUAUGCAUCUCUAGAUCAAACAGAAGAAGCGCAACUGCUUGCCAGCCUACAUAACCAUCUGUUUAUUGUUCAAGUCUGCUCCCUAGGUUCGGCCAAUACCGAACGUGCCAACUACAUCGUCCGUAAUCUAUGGAACCCGGUGGCCGCUGUCUACCAGAUCUGAAUCUGGAUAGUAUACACGGCAAUCCAUGUGUCAGCGUUUUGUUUCUCACCAAACAUCAUGUAAAUAUCAGCUAAUUUCAGUUUGUUACCUAUUGCCAAUUUACUCUAUCCCAUCAUUUGUCUGGUGGUCCUCUAUGUUUAGUGUUUUUUCUAUAAAUGAAUGUAAGGCGACACCCAGUUCACCC